rnacentral:rRNA from 1 species
UAUAGCAUGGAACGAACAAACGUGUGACAGUGCACGCUUGACAACGGCGAUAGAUCUUUGGUUUGUUGCUGCUGUCGGCGUGCAUAGCACCUACCAAAAUACGGAUGUUGGUUCUGUAUACGGUGAUGAUUAAAAGGAGCGGUUGGGGGCAUUGGUAUUUGACCGCGAGAGGUGAAAUUCUUAGACCGGUCAAGGACUAACAAAUGCGAAGGCACUUGUCUAGACCGUUUCCAUUAAUCAAGAACGAAAGUGGGAGGUUCGAAGACGAUCAGAUACCGUCCUAGUUCCCACUGUAAACUAUGCCGACCCGGGAUUAGUUUGGAAAUGUUAUUUGUUCCAGAUUAGUCCCACUGGGAAACCUCAAGUUUUUCGGUUACGGGGAGAGUAUGGUCGCAAGGCUGAAACUUAAAGGAAUUGACGGAAGGGCACCACCAGGGGUGGAGCCUGCGGCUUAAUUUGACUCAACACGGGGAAACUUACCUGGUCCGGACAUCGAUAGGAUAGACAGACUGAUAGAUCUUUCUUGAUGCGAUGAGUGGUGGUGCAUGGCCGUUCUUAGUUCGUGGAGUGAUCUGUCAGGUUAAUUCCGGUAACGAACGAGACCACAGUCUUCAUUUAAGGCACAGAAGUAAGGAGCUGGGGUAACCUAGUUCCCUCUGGUAAAUUUGGCUAUUCAUCCGAGGAUGACGUGAGGAGAAAUCUAAGCGCUGUCUUUUGGUGAAGACGUCAUUUUUCCCUUCUGUUAAGCAGUUUCUGGCGUCAGUUGGGAGCUGCCUUAUGGAGAGACAACGAGAAUUCAUAAGCUCGAGGAAGAGUGGCUAUAACAGGUCAGUGAUGCCCUUCGAUGUUCAGGGCCGCACGCGCGCUACAAUGAUGACGACAGCAAGUGUCUGGGUUGAAAGACCUGGGUAAUCUAUAAUCGUCAUCGUGAUGGGGAUUGACCGUUGUAACUAUCGGUCAUGAAAGAGGAAUCCCUAGUAUAUGUAUUUUAUUAGAAUACAUAGACUUAGUCCCUGCCCUUUGUACACACCGCCCGUCGCUACUACCGAGUGAAUGGUGUCAUGAUGCCUUGGGACUGGACGUGGAAGGGCCUUUGGUUGUUCUACGCUAGGAUCAAUGUAAAAUGGCGCAAUUUCGAGGAAGUAAAAGU